rnacentral:lncRNA from 1 species
AUCAAAAUAUAUGUUACCUCUGUUUGUGCAUUCUUGUACAUAUCUUACCCGUUUGCCCAUCCAUGGUUUUUGUUUAUUAAAUAAAUGUCUUUCUUGAAUACUUAAAGCUUCUUAUUUCGUAGUCUCUGUUAUAUUUUGUAGUAUCUGUUAUAUAUGAUUAAUGGCUGCCAACAUAUGUUUCUUAUUCCUUUUAGAAAGAACUUUGAGGCUGGUUGGAACUGAAAAUGAUCAUGUAAUUGAAAUAGGAAAAGAAGUAGAAAUGGAACU